UACAGAGGUCUCAAGCGUUGUUCGGAUUCAUUGGGCGUAAAGGGUGCGUAGGCGGCGCGGUAAGUCGGGUGUGAAAUCUCGGAGCUUAACUCCGAAACUGCAUUCGAUACUGCCGUGCUUGAGGACUGGAGAGGAGACUGGAAUUUACGGUGUAGCGGUGAAAUGCGCAGAUAUCGGGAGGAACACCGGUGGCGAAGGCGGUUCUCUGGGCCUUACCUGACGCUGAGGAGCGAAAGCGUGGGGAGCGAACAGG
rnacentral:rRNA from 2 species